rnacentral:rRNA from 1 species
GACGAACCGUGCUAACGUUGUUCGGAAUCACUGGGCUUAAAGGGCGCGUAGGCGGGCAUGCAAGUCAGGGGUGAAAGCCCACGGCUCAACCGUGGAAGUGCCUUUGAUACUGCAUGCCUCGAGCGAGGUAGGGGCGUGCGGAACUUCCGGUGGAGCGGUGAAAUGCGUAGAUAUCGGAAGGAACACCGGUGGCGAAAGCGGCGCGCUGGACCUCUUCUGACGCUGAGGCGCGAAAGCCAGGGGAGCAAACGGG